AAGACUAUAGACCUGCGGAGUACCUGCGGAAGGAUCAUUAACGUAUCUAUGAUGGGGUGCGGAGCGCCCUGCUCCGGUCGAACGGCCGUGCAGCGGGUGCGCCGCCCCCGUCCCACCUCACAAACCCACUGUGAACAUUCACCGGUGGAGGGGGCUCGGUCUGCGCCGUGUCCCCGAUGCCGAACACCCAAACUCCAGUUGCAAAGAACGUCGUGCGGACUCGGUGCCGCCUAAAACAUG
rnacentral:misc_RNA from 1 species